CUCCGACUCCUCGCAUGGGGUGUCGGGAAAGAUUUCAUCGGUGUGGGAUGGGGUCGCGUCCUAUCAGGUAGUCGGCGGGGUAACGGCCCACCGAGCCUACGACGGGUAGCCGGCCUGAGAGGGCGACCGGCCACAUUGGGACUGAGAUACGGCCCAGACUCCUACGGGAGGCAGCAGUGGGGAAUAUUGCACAAUGGGCGCAAGCCUGAUGCAGCGACGCCGCGUGCGGGAUGACGGCCUUCGGGUUGUAAACCGCUUUUGAUCGGGAGCAAGCCUUCGGGUGAGUGUACCUUUCGAAUAAGCACCGGCUAACUACGUGCCAGCAGCCGCGGUAAUACGUAGGGUGCAAGCGUUAUCCGGAAUUAUUGGGCGUAAAGGGCUCGUAGGCGGUUCGUCGCGUCCGGUGUGAAAGUCCAUCGCUUAACGGUGGAUCUGCGCCGGGUACGGGCGGG
rnacentral:rRNA from 1 species